CCCUCCGUCUCCUUGACUCUGGGUGGGCUGUGUGACUUUUCCUUGCUCAAUAGAAUGAGAAGGAGGUGGCGCACCGGCUACAAGGCUAGACCGGGGGCUCGCAUAUCUCCACUUGCAGCUGCCACUGCCAUUAGAAGAACUUGCUCAGCCAGCUCCUGGGCCCCAGGAAAAGGACAAGUGUCACCCAGAACAGAGCCACCUCCAGCUGCACUCAGCUCCAGAAGCUGGCCCAGCCGGUCCAGUACACCUUUUAAAUAAUGUCCUCUACGUGCCGGUGUGGAAGUAGCCCGGAUGCAAUUGAAUGAACAACAGACGGUGCUUUCCAGGACGGCGCUGUGCUUUCCAGGAUGGUGCUGUGCUUUCAUUCAUUUGGGUAGCUCCUCUGUGAGCCUCCCAGCGCCGACUGCAGAGCCCCCACUCUCCAGCCUGCAAGACCCCGAAAUUCAAGCCACACAAAGAAAGGAGGAGGGGGCCGUUGGCAUUUACUGAACCUUAUAAAACUGUCAGCAAAACAGCCCUUAGGCUUGGACUCCCUGCUAGCCGGGUUUUACGGUGCUGAAGUCAGCAUCUUGAUUCAGCUGCAUAAAUAAUCUCCUGCAGUCCUGCAAGGCCUGGGGUAGGAGAGGGUAUGGGGACCAGGGCACUCUGUAAGGGCUGGGAUAGGAACCCCAGGGAAUAAGACAGACCAACUGCGGGACUUCAGACUCCACUGCAGCCGGGAUCGGGUUGUUGUUAAUUUCUUAAGCAAUUUCUAAAUUCUGUAUUGACUCUCUCAUGCAUGUAACUGAUCCUUAGAUAUUGUCAGCCAAAUGACUAAAGGAUUUAGAAAU
rnacentral:lncRNA from 10 species